GCUCAGGACGAACGCUGGCGGCGUGCCUAAUACAUGCAAGUCGAGCGAAUGAUGAAGAAGCUUGCUUCUUCUGAUUUAGCGGCGGACGGGUGAGUAACACGUGGGCAACCUACCUAGUAGAUUGGGAUAACUCCGGGAAACCGGGGCUAAUACCGAAUAAUCCAUUUUGUCACAUGGCAAAAUGCUGAAAGGCGGUUUCGGCUGUCACUACUAGAUGGGCCCGCGGUGCAUUAGCUAGUUGGUGGGGUAACGGCCUACCAAGGCAACGAUGCAUAGCCGACCUGAGAGGGUGAUCGGCCACAUUGGGACUGAGACACGGCCCAAACUCCUACGGGAGGCAGCAGUAGGGAAUCUUCCACAAUGGACGAAAGUCUGAUGGAGCAACGCCGCGUGAGUGAUGAAGGUUUUCGGAUCGUAAAACUCUGUUGUAAGGGAAGAACAAGUACGUUAGUAACUGAACGUACCU
rnacentral:rRNA from 1 species